UUUUAUAAUAAUUUAUUUUCGUUCAUAUAUUGUUAAAAUGAAUACGACGCAAGAACAAAAAGAAAUGAUACUUCAGUGGAUGAAGUUAAAUCCCGAAGUAGCAAGAGGGAGAUUACGUAGAAAAGGCGAAAGUCGAAAUGAAAUGAAGAAAUUAUUGGAAGACUUGGCAAGAACAAUAAUGCAGCUAACGUUGGUCCUAUCAAAAGUAGUGCAGACUGGUUAAAGACUUGGAAAGAUUGGAAAACGUACGUCCUAAAAAAAGAAACGAGAAGAAGAAAUCACGGUUUAAUAACAGGAGGAGGAUCACCAAUAAACAUAUAUUUUUCUCCUUUAGAAGAGGAAUUAUUAAAUUUUAUUACUCCCGAAGUAGCAGGUAUGGAUAAUAUUCCGCAAGAGGGAAUAUAUUUAGAUGACACAUGCAUAGAAACAGAUUCAGAUAUGUAAGAUAAAGAAAAUUUAUAUUUUGAAGAAAAUAAAAAAUUGCCACAGAAAAGAUUAUAUAAAAACUAUGAAUUUCAAAGUAAUACAGGAAAUACACAAUUAUUAUCACAUAAGACAAUGCAUAUCGAAGAAAACGCAGAAACAUCGACAACGCCGAAGAUGAUUCAUAUUCCAGAAAAUCAAAAAGAUUCAAAGUUGCAAUUAUCAAAUGAAAUGCUUCAUGUUUACAAAGAAAAAUUAAACUUAAAAAAAGAUGAGUUAUUUAUUCAACGGCAAAUAUUGGAAGUGCAACGAGCAAUUCUAAGUGAAUUACAGAAAAUUGGAAACACUGUAUAUACAUUUGGUUGCUUGGAAUAAGAUCUCAAAGGAUA